rnacentral:misc_RNA from 1 species
UUAUGUGGCUUAAAUUUUAGAUAUGUCUUUAUAGACCUGAAUUGUGACUUGACACGAAAGUUUCGCGCUACGACCCAAUUGGUAUAAAAAGUGAGGUCUGUGACUCUAGUGGAGGGCACGGGUUGCCCUUGUGGUAUGGACCAGUUUAAAUAUUAUAAUAUUCUGCCCUUUACGAUAGAGUUAUAAGAUAUUCGAGAAAUACAGUGGGUUAGGAUUUGAAAGUUAUAA